CAAUAGCGUAUAUUUAAGUUGCUGCAGUUAAAAAGCUCGUAGUUGGAUUUCGGGUGGGAAUGGCCGGUCCGCCGUUUCGGUGUGCACUUGCUACGCCCACCUUGCUGCCGGGGACGUGCUCUUGAGUUCACGCUCGGGACACGGAGUCGGCGAGGUUACUUUGAGUAAAUUAGAGUGUUCAAAGCAGGCCUACGCUCUGAAUACAUUAGCAUGGAAUAACACGAUAGGACUCUGGCCUAUCUUGUUGGUCUGUAGGACCGGAGUAAUGAUUAAGAGGGACAGUCGGGGGCAUUCGUAUUUCAUUGUCAGAGGUGAAAUUCAAUAAUUUGUCUGAGACAAACUAAAGCGAAAGCAUUCGCCAUGGAUGUUUUCAUUAA
rnacentral:rRNA from 1 species